GCGCUGGUAGUGUAGCGGCAUCACGCGACCGUUCCACGGUCGUGACAGGGGUUCAAAUCCUCUCCAGCGCA
rnacentral:tRNA from 1 species